rnacentral:sRNA from 2 species
GCGGAGGGAUAUUACUGAGUUUCGGCGGGCAGGGUCUCCGUGACCCUCCCGGCCUCCCGCCCCCGGGCGGGUCGGCGCCCGCCGGAGGGUAACCAAACUCUGAUUUAACGACGUUUCUUCUGAGUGGUACAAGCAAAUAAUCAAAACUUUUAACAACGGAUCUCUUGGUUCUGGCAUCGAUGAAGAACGCAGCGAAAUGCGAUAAGUAAUGUGAAUUGCAGAAUUCAGUGAAUCAUCGAAUCUUUGAACGCACAUUGCGCCCGCCAGCAUUCUGGCGGGCAUGCCUGUUCGAGCGUCAUUUCAACCCUCAAGCUCUGCUUGGUGUUGGGGCCCUACAGCCGAUGUAGGCCCUCAAAGGUAGUGGCGGACCCUCCCGGAGCCUCCUUUGCGUAGUAACUUUACGUCUCGCACUGGGAUCCGGAGGGACUCUUGCCGUAAAACCCCCCAAUUCUCCAAAGGUUGACCUCGGAUCAGGUAGGAAUACCCGCUGAACUUAAGCAUAUCAUA